AUUGAACGCUGGCGGCAGGCCUAACACAUGCAAGUCGAACGAGCGGCGGACGGGUGAGUAAUGUCUGGGAAACUGCCUGAUGGAGGGGGAUAACUACUGGAAACGGUAGCUAAUACCGCAUACCAUCAGAUGUGCCCAGAUGGGAUUAGCUUGUAGGUGGGGUAACGGCUCACCUAGGCGACGAGCCCUAGCUGGUCUGAGAGGAUGACCAGCCACACUGGAACGGAGACACGGUCCAGAGUCCUACGGGAGGCAGCAGUGGGGAAUAUUGCACAAUGGGCGCAAGCCUGAUGCAGCCAUGCCGCGUGUAUGAAGAAGGCCUUCGGGUUGUAAAGUACUUUCAGUGGGGAGGCGUUACCCGCAGAAGAAGCACCGGCUAACUCCGUGCCAGCAGCCGCGGUAAUAC
rnacentral:rRNA from 1 species